GUAGCGAUCUAGCCAGCUAUGAUGCCAAGUGGAAGUUAAUGUUUUGAUCAUUUGUCUGUCCUCCAGCAUAGUGGAUGAGUCAAGGUCACAUGAUUUGUUAUGUGUAUUAAUAGCCUCCAUAGCGGACUACAGCUAGCUGACAUGAUUAUUUUCGUGGGGCGGCCUGUAGCGUAGUGGUUAAGGUAAAUGACUUGGACACGCAAGGCAAUACAGAGGAGAGGUGUGUCUAUGACGGAUAUUAAGCACUAGCUUGGGGAUCCCUGGACGGAGAGAGCAUGGCCUAUGGAACCCUGGCCAGCCUAACCCUGCCCCUACGUCUGGCAAGACAAAGACAACUAUGUCCUGCUGUUGUGGACUCCUGGUCACAGAUGGACAAUGAUGACUUCAUCUCACAGCUGGGAUUCCGAGGGUAUAGGGCAUCGGAAUCGAGCGUCUUUACUUAAUUUAAGCCCCUCACAGGAAUAACACAAAAAUAGGUUCAGCUGAAAACACAG